rnacentral:rRNA from 1 species
UACGAAGGGGGCUAGCGUUGCUCGGAAUCACUGGGCGUAAAGCGCACGUAGGCGGAUUGUUAAGUCAGGGGUGAAAUCCUGGAGCUCAACUCCAGAACUGCCUUUGAUACUGGCGAUCUUGAGUCCGGGAGAGGUGAGUGGAACUGCGAGUGUAGAGGUGAAAUUCGUAGAUAUUGGGAAGAACACCGGUGGCGAAGGCGGCGACCUGGUCCGAUACUGACGCUGAGGCGCGAAAGCGUGGGGAGCAAACAGG